AGCGGCGGACGGGUGAGUAACGCGUGGGAACGUGCCCUUCAGUACGGAAUAGCCCAGGGAAACUUGGAUUAAUACCGUAUACGCCCUUCGGGGGAAAGAUUUAUCGCUGAGGGAUCGGCCCGCGUUGGAUUAGGUAGUUGGUGGGGUAAAAGCCUACCAAGCCGACGAUCCAUAGCUGGUUUGAGAGGACGAUCAGCCACACUGGGACUGAGACACGGCCCAGACUCCUACGGGAGGCAGCAGUGGGGAAUCUUAGACAAUGGGGGAAACCCUGAUCUAGCCAUGCCGCGUGAGUGACGAAGGCCCUAGGGUCGUAAAGCUCUUUCGCCGGGGAAGAUAAUGACGGUACCCGGUAAAGAAGUCCCGGCUAACUCCGUGCCAGCAGCCGCGGUAAUACGGAGGGGACUAGCGU
rnacentral:rRNA from 1 species